GCGCGAUGAUUCAGAUUUGGUGACUAGCGUCUGAGGUGGACUGACCAGCCUCGUCUGAAUAAGACGGAACCCAAGGCAUGGCUGUUCGCCGAAAGAUCGAAGCUUUAGUCGCUGUAUGAGCGCA
rnacentral:snoRNA from 1 species